UACAGGGGGUGCAAACGUUGCUCGGAGUUAUUGGGCGUAAAGCGCGCGUAGGCGGCUACUUAAGUCGGAUGUGAAAGCCCUUGGCUCAACUGAGGAAGUGCACCCGAAACUGAGUGGCUUGAGUACUAAAGAGGGUCGCGGAAUUCCCGGUGUAGAGGUGAAAUUCGUAGAUAUCGGGAGGAACACCGGUGGCGAAGGCGGCGACCUGGGUAGAUACUGACGCUGAGGCGCGAAAGCGUGGGGAGCAAACAGG
rnacentral:rRNA from 1 species